CGGCGCUGGAUGGCUGGACCUUCGGCUGGCUGAUCGCCGGCGGCGUGGCCUACACGCUGGGCACGGUGUUCUACCACCGGCCGUCGA
rnacentral:tRNA from 2 species